rnacentral:rRNA from 1 species
GACGAACGCUGGCGGCGUGCUUAACACAUGCAAGUCGAACGGUAAGGCCCUUCGGGGUACACGAGUGGCGAACGGGUGAGUAACACGUGGGUGAUCUGCCCUGCACUUCGGGAUAAGCCUGGGAAACUGGGUCUAAUACCGGAUAGGACCACUGCCUGCAUGGGUGGUGGUGGAAAGCUUUUGCGGUGUGGGUUGGGCCCGCGGCCUAUCAGCUUGUUGGUGGGGUGAUGGCCUACCAAGGCGACGACGGGUAGCCGGCCUGAGAGGGUGACCGGCCGCACUGGUACUGAGAUACGCCCCAGACUCCUACGGGAGGCAGCAGUGGGGAAUAUUGCACAAUGGGCGCAAGCCUGAUGCAGCGACGCCGCGUGAGGGAUGACGGCCUUCGGGUUGUAAACCUCUUUCAGCACCGACGAAGCGCGAGUGACGGUAGGUGCAGAAGAAGGACCGGCCAACUACGUGCCAGCCGCCGCGGUAACAC